rnacentral:rRNA from 11 species
AGUUACGAUCUAUACAACCUAAAGGCACUGGACCCUGUCUGGUAUUGGAAGCUAAGCAGGGUCAUCCCUAGUUAAUACCUGGAUGGGUGACCGCCAACAAAUACCAGGUGUUUUAGGCU